AAAUGUAUUUCACACGGAUUUCCGUGGAAAUUCCGCUUAUAACCAGCAAAUUGAUCCAAAUCUGAAGCAUAUCCAUCCAUGUCCUUCUCCCCCACCCCUAAAGCAUAUCGAUGAUCCAAAUCUGAAGCAUAUCGAUCCAUGUCCUUCUCCCCCACCCCUAAAGCGUAUCGAUGUUCUUCUCCCCCAAAUCGAUUCAGCCUUAUCAGAGGUCUGGAAGCACCGCCUCCAGCUACAAUAAUCUGUCUGUGAAAUUUGAACUCUGCAAUCCCAGAAAAAAAACGAGAGCAUGUCGAAGGAGAGAGCCAAAAGAGGCACACUGCCUCCAGCCCAAGAGUAAAUUGAGAAAGUUGUAGAGGAAGGUAACUACCAUGGAGCUCAGCAGCUGUACAAAUCUAUUAGUGCGAGAUAUGUAGCUGCUCAGAGGUAUACUGAAGCUUUAGAUAUUCUUCAGUCGGGUGCAUGCAUCCAGUUGAAACAUGGGCAGGUUACGUGUGGGGCAGAGUUAGCUGCUUUGUUUGUGGAUACACUUGUCAAAGCGAGAUGCCCUUAUGACGAUGAAACCCUCGGUCAGUUGCUCGCCUCCAGCGUCAAGCACCGCCUCCCUCCAGUCCAUCCUUCCCUCUUCUCUGUUGCCUCUGCUGGAGCUCCUUCAGUCUAUUUCUUCCAUCAAGGCCGAUUACAUUGCUCGCCAACAGUGCAAAGCAUCCUCUAGUCCUCUAGUCCUUUGCACCGAUGAUUCUGGGGUCUUUUCUACCUGCCCUUCCAACGAGUACAACCUUGCUGCUUCUGCAUUUGGGGAAGGAGGGAAAUAUUUCAGCUAACGAGAAAUUCGUGCAAGUUUAUAUUUGCUGAUGAUGGAGUAAAGAGAUAAUUAAAGGAGAUUUUUAGUUCACUAGAACAGAAGCUCGACCAAUCUUUCGAAUUUAGGGGCAUAUGCAGAAACGCUGAUCAUUUCAUAAGUUGUAUUAUCAACUGUUAUUGACAUCUUUAGAAUUAUAUUUUUUUUCUUCAAGUAAUGCAGAAUCUUCAUUGGUUCCUAAUUAAUUAGCAGAUUUUUUUUAUA